AGAGUUUGAUCCUGGCUCAGGAUGAACGCUAGCUACAGGCUUAACACAUGCAAGUCGAGGGGAAACGAUAUUGGAAGCUUGCUUCCGAUAGGCGUCGACCGGCGUACGGGUGAGUAACGCGUACCCAACCUGCCCACCACUUGGGGAUAACCUUGCGGAAGUAAGACUAAUACCCAAUGACGUCUCUAGAAGACAUCUGAAAGAGAUUAAAGAUUUAUCGGUGAUGGAUGGGGAUGCGUCUAAUUAGCUUGUUGGCGGGGUAACGGCCCACCAAGGCGACGAUCAGUAGGGGUUCUGAGAGGAAGGCCCACCACAUUGGAACUGAGACACGGUCCAAACUCCUACGGGAGGCAGCA
rnacentral:rRNA from 1 species